UCUAAGUAUAACCUGCCAGACAGGGAAACUGCGUACGGCUCAUUACACCAGCCUUAAUUUACUUGACCUUGACAACCUACUUGGAUAACUGUGGUAAUUCUAGAGCUAAUACAUGCACCAAAGCUCCGAUCCUCGCGGAGAGGAGCGCAUUUGUUCGCCACAAAACCAAGCCCCCAUCUGGGCGUCCAGUGCUGAACCAGAACAACUCAGCUGAUCGCACGGUCUUGUACCGGCGACGUGUCUUUCAAGUGUCUGCCUUAUCAACUUUCGAUGGUAGUGUACCUGACUACCAUGGUUGUGACGGGUAACGGAGGAUAAGGGUUCGACUCCGGAGAAGGGGCCUGAGAAAUGGCCACUACGUCUAAGGAUGGCAGCAGGCGCGCAAAUUACCCACUCUCAACGCGAGGAGGUAGUGACGAGAAAUAACGAGACCGUUCUCAUACGAGGCCGGUUAUUGGAAUGGGUACAAUUUAAA
rnacentral:rRNA from 1 species